GACGAACGCUGGCGGCGUGCCUAAUACAUGCAAGUCGAACGAGAGCGACCGGUGCUUGCACUGGUCAAUCUAGUGGCGAACGGGUGAGUAACACGUGGGUAACCUGCCCAUCAGAGGGGGAUAACAUUCGGAAACGGAUGCUAAAACCGCAUAGGUCUUCGAACCGCAUGGUUUGAAGAGGAAAAGAGGCGCAAGCUUCUGCUGAUGGAUGGACCCGCGGUGCAUUAGCUAGUUGGUGAGGUAACGGCUCACCAAGGCCGUGAUGCAUAGCCGACCUGAGAGGGUGAUCGGCCACAUUGGGACUGAGACACGGCCCAAACUCCUACGGGAGGCAGCAGUAGGGAAUCUUCCGCAAUGGACGCAAGUCUGACGGAGCAACGCCGCGUGAGUGAAGAAGGUUUUCGGAUCGUAAAACUCUGUUGUUAGAGAAGAACAAGUGCUAGAGUAACUGUUAGCGCCUUGACGGUAUCUAACCAGAAAGCCACGGCUAACUACGUGCCAGCAGCCGCGGUAAUACGUAGGUGGCAAGCGUUGUCCGGAUUUAUUGGGCGUAAAGCGAGCGCAGGCGGUUCCUUAAGUCUGAUGUGAAAGCCCCCGGCUCAACCGGGGAGGGUCAUUGGAAACUGGGGAACUUGAGUGCAGAAGAGGAGAGUGGAAUUCCAUGUGUAGCGGUGAAAUGCGUAGAUAUAUGGAGGAACACCAGUGGCGAAGGCGACUCUCUGGUCUGUAACUGACGCUGAGGUCCGAAAGCGUGGGUAGCAUACAGG
rnacentral:rRNA from 1 species